AUGUUCAAGAUAGCCAUGCACGUCUAGUACAAACUAAAUGAUGGUGAAACUGCAAAUGGCUCAUUACAACGGUUAUGAUGUACCCGGGAGUUCCGAUGGAUAUUUCCAGUAACACUAGAACUAAUACAUGUCCCUGCGUUUAUUAGUUUCGCACAGUCCGUCGCUGAGUCAUGGUAAACAGUUGAUCGACUCGACGUCCCGGAACAGUUUCCGCCCCAUCAGCUUCGAUGGUUGGGUAUUGGCCUACCAUUGCAACAACGGGUAACGAGGAAUUAGGGUUUGAUUUCGGAGAGGGAGCCUGAGAAACGGCUACCACAUCUACGGAUGGCAGCAGGCGCGCAAAUUACCCAAUGCAGACACUGUGAGGUAGUGACGAGAAAUAAUAAAGCGGGACUUCUGUUUCGCUAUUAUAAUGAGGAAUAACCAAAGGUCAUUCCGAUUAGCAACUGAUGGGAAAGUCUGGUGCCAGCAGCCGCGGUAAUACCAGCGUCAGUAGCAUA
rnacentral:rRNA from 1 species